rnacentral:lncRNA from 1 species
AAGCCAGGAGGGAGUCAUAAACAUCCAUCUCCAAGGGAAGAUCCAUCAGCUCCUAUCAAGCACAAAGGAAAGAUUUACAGGUAAUGUUUUCCUCCCAUACAGAAGUAUGAUUAAGCAAAUGCUUGAAAGGCUUUUUUUUUUUUU